CUUAAAUCUUGAUACAACUUCAGGGGAGAAGUGGCUUGAGUCUUCUGAACCUGUUUCCAAAAAAAGAAAAAGUCUGAUCAGAUGCAGAAACGGAGAUGAAGAGAAAUUAUGGGAUUUUCCCUGUAUGAGAAUCCCAACAAGGUCCUGACUUUCAAGGGUUUUUUUGUUUUAGUUUUUUGGGGUUUUUUGCGGGGCACUGAGGGUUAAGUGACUUGCCCGGGGUCACACAGCUAGUAAGUGUCAAGUGUCUGAGGCCAGAUAUGAACUCAGGUCCUUCUGAAUCCAGGACUGGUGCUUUAUCCACUGCACCACCUAGCUGCCCCCAAGGUCCUGACUUUCAAGACCAGUCCUCCUUGCUCUAUACUGUGCUUACACUCAGCAAUCAGGGACUCACUUUACCUUAUGUCUCACUUGAGCCCCACCAGGGAUCCACCCUGAGAGCUGGAAAGGUUCAGAGAUUUUAUGUGGCCUGCUAAUGGUCACACAACGAAUAAAUAUGGGAGAUGAAAUUCCAA